CGGGAGGAGAGCGAGCCCCGGCGCGAGGGCAGCCCGCGGCCGUCCAGCCGGAGAGGGAGGGCUCUCGGGGCGCAGCAAGUCCGAACGCCUCGCUGAACGCCCUUCCCUCCUGGGACGAACCUCGGCUGCUCCCGGCGCCUGCAUCCGCGAGUCCCACGCCCCCCUCCGGACUUCCCCAAAGAGCAACCCCGCAGCUCGGAGCAAGGCGGCGAAGGCGCUGUCUCCCCACCGCCGGGCGCUCUCCGGGACCCCGGGAGGGAUGCGCAGACCACCUGGCGUCAGGGAGAGGCACGGGAACAGUUGAGAGCGCCGAUUCCUAACCGGAAGCAUUGAACAUGUGCACUUGAGCAUGCCCUAGUGAGCCAGGGGCAGAGAAAGAAUCUUCAAGCAGACUGCUGGUUCUGGAGGCCAGAAGUCCAAAGGUAGCAGAAGAGCUGUGCUCCCUCUGAAGUCUCUGGAGUAGAAUUCUUCCUUGCUUCUUCCAGCAUCUGGUAACCCAUGCAUUCCUGAACUUGUGACAGCCUAACUCCAAUCUCUGUCCCUGUCUUCAUAUGGCCCUCUUCACCCUGUGUCCAGAUUUUCCACUUCACAGAAGGACACCAGUCAUUUUCCAAACAUGUAUUGUGUUCUUCAGUGGAAUGAGAAAUAAGUUAAUUUUUUGCCCUCAAAGAACUUAUAGUCUGAGAUUGUCCUUGAUUUAAAGUGACUUUCUCAACAAGGCAGUGCAAGAAGGGAUGCGAGGCUGUGUGUAUGAUUAAGGCUAUCUGCAAAAUUCAGCCUUGUUGGAUUGAGUAUGAGUGUGAGGAGCUGAAUCGGGGUAUCAGAUCUCUGGAGGUGGAAUGGGGCAAGAACCGUGUUUGUCUUGUUCAUUGUUUCAUCCUCAGCACCCAAAUACAGCCAGCCUCUGCCACAUAACAUAAGGAGAAUAAUAACAGUGGUGAUAAUAAUAAUAAAAUAUAACCAACA